rnacentral:rRNA from 1 species
CCCUUAGAUGUCCUGGGCCGCACGCGCGCUACACUGAUGCAUGCAACGAGUUUAUAACCUUGGCCUGAAAGGUCUGGGUAAUCUUUUGAACGUGCAUCGUGAUAGGGAUAGAUUAUUGCAAUUGUUAAUCUUGAACGAGGAAUUCCUAGUAAACGCGAGUCAUCAGCUCGCAUUGAUUACGUCCCUGCCCUUUGUACACACCGCCCGUCGCACCUACCGAUUGAAUGGUUCGGUGAAGAUCUCGGACUUCGAUAUUUAUUCUUUAUUGAGUUUAUAUUGUGGGAAGUUAUCUAAACCUCAUCAUUUAGAGGAAGGUAAAGUCGUAACA